rnacentral:rRNA from 1 species
AUUGAACGCUGGCGGCAGGCCUAACACAUGCAAGUCGAGCGAGCGGCGGACGGGUGAGUAAUGUCUGGGAAACUGCCUGAUGGAGGGGGAUAACUACUUGAAACGGUAGCUCAUACCGCAUACCAUCUGAUGUGCCCAGAUGGGGUUGGCUAGUAGGUGGGGUAACGGCUCACCUAGGCGACGAUCCCUAGCUGGUCUGAGAGGAGGACCCGCCCCACUGGACCUGAGACGCGUUCCAGACUCCUAGGGGGGGCAGCAAGGGGGAAUAUUGACCACUGGGCGCAAGCCUGAUGCAGCCAUGCCGCGUGUGUGAAGAAGGCCUUCGGGUUGUAAAGCACUUUCAGCGGGGAGGCGUUACCCGCAGAAGAAGCACCGGCUAACUCCGUGCCAGCAGCCGCGGUAUAC